ACAAAUUUUGUUUUGUGGGUAUACUGACUGCUUUCGUGUGUCAACUUGACACAAGCUGGAGUUAUCAAAGAGAAAGGGGCCUCCUUUGAGGAAUGCCUUCAUGAGAUCCAGCUGUAAGGCAUAGUCUCAAUUAGUGAUCAAGGGUGGUAGGACCCAUUGAGGUUGGUGCUAUCCCUGGGCUGGUAGUCCUGGAUUCUAUAAGAAAGCAAGCUGAACAAACCAGUGAUAGCAGUCCAGUAAGCAGUACCCCUCCAUGGCCUCUGCAUCAGCUCUUGCCUCUAAGUUACUGCCCGGUGUGAGUUCUUGUCCUGACAGCAAUGUGGAAAUGUAAGUUGAAUAAACCCUUUCCUCCCCAACUUGCUUCUUAGUCAUGAUGUUUUGUGCUAGAAUACAAAACCAGACUAAGACAGGGGUUGUUGUUGUAAGCACAGAGAGCAGGUUUGAAAUGAUAGGGAGAUGAGUGACACUGGAUGGAUGCUGUAAAACUUACAAGGAAUCAAUUAACAGUUAUAUUAAAAAAAUCCUCAGUUCUCUUUUCCUUAUAAGUUUACUUUUGCAUUUUAUCAUUUUGUCUUAAUAUAAGGGCAGCUUCUUGUCAUUUUUCCUCUUCUUUAUUUUUUAAUAGCAGCUGUCUAUUUUCAUAGAGAUGAUCCUUUUUAAAUGUAUUUGAUAUGAAUAGAAGCUUCAAUAUUUUUAAAAUAUAUGUUGUAUCUUUCCAUACCAUUUUCAUUUUGCCUCAUAAGACUGUGCCUUUCAUGUGAUGUGAGGGCCUCAUAUUCAUGUGUCUAUUAUUUUUAGUCCAUUAUAUUUAUUUAAUUUAAGCACAAAGCAUUAAAAAGUAGGUUGCUUCCAUAAAUGAGUAAUCAUGCGAGAUCAGCCGUAAUGAAGCAGACUGCCACAAUGAAAAAUGUGAUAAGUAAAUAUGUACAAAGCAUCCCUGUGUGACAAAGCUUUCAUCAUGACAAAAUGGUCAAAUCCUGUGGGCCUAGUUCCACAAAAUGAUUCUGCUUGGCCUUUGAAAUAAUUCUGUAAUGAGAUAAAAAAUGAGAUGGGUUUGGUCUGCUCUGGAAGAGGGACUGGAUAAAUACACACUUCUAGAAGAACCCUAGACAGAGUGCAUGGGAGAUGGGACCUGGGCUGAUUACCCAGGAUUCAAAGAACUUUCCUUAUCUCUCACUGCCCAUGGGGAUGCAGAGAAGAUGGCUCCAUGUGGAGAUUAUAAAACCCUUAGCACUUAAAUACCAUUGUUUUCCCUUUAGCUCCUAUUUGCUGUUUACCUCUGAAAAAAAUGCCUCAUUGGUCUGGUCCCCUGCAGUUGCUCUUACUUCCUUCAGCAUUUCUAACAUUUAUUUUUAAAAUAAUUUCAUGAGACUAGGAAGGAGGAGGAGGAGGAAGAGAGGAGGAG
rnacentral:lncRNA from 1 species